AUUGAACGCUGGCGGCAGGCCUAACACAUGCAAGUCGAGCGAGCGGCGGACGGGUGAGUAAUGUCUGGGAAACUGCCUGAUGGAGGGGGAUAACUACUGGAAACGGUAGCUAAUACCGCAUACCCUCAGAUGUUCCCAGAUGGGAUUAGCUAGUAGGUGGGGUAGCGGCUCACCUAGGCGACGAGCCCUCGCUGGUCUGAGAGGAUGACCAGCAACACUGGAACUGAGCCACGGUCCAGACUCCUACGGGAGGAAGCAGUGGGGAAUAUUGCACAAUGGGCGCAAGCCUGAUGCAGCCAUGCCGCGUGUGUGAAGAAGGCCUUCGGGUUGUAAAGCACGUUCAGCGGGGAGGCGUUACCAACAGAAUAAGCACCGGCUAACUCCGUGCCAGCAGCCGCGGUAAUUC
rnacentral:rRNA from 1 species